UUAAAGACAGUGAUAAGGAAGAGUAAAUAAAUUACUGUUCUAAGAGAGGAAAAUCCAUAGGCUGUAAGAUUUUCUGUUCAAGUAUUAUUGAAAACCACCUUUGAGUCGAGUAUUGAAUUUUAGUAGAUAUUUCCGCUAUAAGCGUUAAAAGUAAUGAGAUAACAGUAGUGGUAUAUGUUUUACACAUAUAUAAUUUACUAUUGUUAAUUUGGGUGGAAUCGCGAUACUACUCGUCCCAGUU
rnacentral:ncRNA from 1 species